AUGAACGCUGGCGGCGUGCCUAAUACAUGCAAGUCGAGCGAACGGACGAGAAGCUUGCUUCUCUGAUGUUAGCGGCGGACGGGUGAGUAGCACGUGGAUAACCUACCUAUAAGACUGGGAUAACUUCGGGAAACCGGAGCUAAUACCGGAUAAUAUUUUGAACCGCAUGGUUCAAAAGUGAAAGACGGUCUUGCUGUCACUUAUAGAUGGAUCCGCGCUGCAUUAGCUAGUUGGUAAGGUAACGGCUUACCAAGGCAACGAUGCAUAGCCGACCUGAGAGGGUGAUCGGCCACACUGGAACUGAGACACGGUCCAGACUCCUACGGGAGGCAGCAGUAGGGAAUCUUCCGCAAUGGGCGAAAGCCUGACGGAGCAACGCCGCGUGAGUGAUAAAGGUCUUCGGAUCGUAAAACUCUGUUAUUAGGGAAGAACAUAUGUGUAAGUAACUGUGCACAUCUUGACGGUACCUAAUCAGAAAGCCACGGCUAACUACGUG
rnacentral:rRNA from 1 species